GAUGAAGAACGUAGCGAAAUGCGAUACGUAAUGUGAAUUGCAGAUUUCAGUGAAUCAUCGAAUCUUUGAACGCACAUUGCGCCCGCUAGUAUUCUGGCGGGCAUGCCUGUUCGAGCGUCAUUUCAACCAUCAAGCCCUAGGCUUGCGUUGGAGCCCUGCGGCUGCCGCAGGCUCCCAAAUCCAGUGGCGGGCUCGUCGUCGUACCGAGUGCAGUAAACAUCCUCGCUCAGGGAACGUGACGGGUUCUUGCCGUGAAACCCCCCACAUAUCAAGGUUGACCUCGGAUCAGGUAGGAAUACCCGCUGAAUUUAAGCAUAUCAAUAAGCGGAGGA
rnacentral:misc_RNA from 1 species